UAUUCUCUGAAGCUCAGCUAUAACCCCACCACUUCUUUCCUUUUUGAGAUGGAGCUUCACUCUUCACGCAGGCUGGAGUACAGUGGCCCAAUCUCAGCUCA